rnacentral:rRNA from 1 species
CAGUCGCCGCGGUAAAACCAGCACCUCGAGUGGUCAGGAGGUUUAUUGGGCCUAAAGCAUCCGUAGCCGGUUGCAUAAGUUUUCGGUUAAAUCUAUGCGCUUAACGUAUAGGCCGCCGAAAAUACUGUGCAGCUAGGGAGUGGGAGAGGUACACGGUACUCGAUAGGAAGGGGUAAAAUCCUUUGAUCUAUUGAUGACCACCUGUGGCGAAUGCGGUGUACCAGAACACGUUCGACGGUGAGGGAUGAAAGCUGGGGGAGCAAACCGGAUUAGAUACCCGCGUAGUCCCUGUCUCUUAUAC